rnacentral:rRNA from 1 species
UACGUAGGUGACAAGCGUUGUCCGGAUUUACUGGGCGUAAAGAGCGCGCAGGCGGUCGAUCAAGUCGAGUGUGAAAGCCCCCGGCUCAACUGGGGAGGGUCAUUCGAUACUGAUCGACUCGAAGGCAGGAGAGGGUAGUGGAAUUCCCGGUGUAGUGGUGAAAUGCGUAGAUAUCAGGAGGAACACCAAUGGCGAAGGCAGCUCGCUGGGACGGUACUGACGCUGAGACGCGAAAGCGUGGGGAGCAAACGGG